UACAGAGGAUGCAAGCGUUAUCCGGAAUGAUUGGGCGUAAAGCGUCUGUAGGUGGCUUUUUAAGUCCGCCGUCAAAUCCCAGGGCUCAACUCUGGACAGGCGGUGGAAACUACCAAGCUGGAGUACGGUAGGGGCAGAGGGAAUUCCAGGUGUAGCGGUGAAAUGCGUAGAUAUCUGGAGGAACACCGGUGGCGAAGGCGGCAUCCUGGACCAACACUGACGCUGAGGAGCGAAAGCCAGGGGAGCAAACGGG
rnacentral:rRNA from 1 species